ACACUCCUACGGGAGGCAGCAGUGGGGAAUUUUGGACAAUGGGCGAAAGCCUGAUCCAGCAAUGCCGCGUGAGUGAAGAAGGCCUUCGGGUUGUAAAGCUCUUUUGUCAGGGAAGAAACGGUGAGAGCUAAUAUCUUUUGCUAAUGACGGUACCUGAAGAAUAAGCACCGGCUAACUACGUGCCAGCAGCCGCGGUAAUACGUAGGGUGCAAGCGUUAAUCGGAAUUACUGGGCGUAAAGCGUGCGCAGGCGGUUUUGUAAGUCUGAUGUGAAAUCCCCGGGCUCAACCUGGGAAUUGCAUUGGGGACUGCAAUGCUAGAAUCUGGCAGAGGGGGGUAGAAUUCCACGUGGAGCAGUGAAAUGCGUAGAUAUGUGGAGGAACACCGAUGGCGAAGGCAGCCCCCUGGGUCAAGUUUGACGGUCAUGCACGAAAGCGUGGGGAGCAAACAGGAUUAGAUACCCUGGUAGUCCC
rnacentral:rRNA from 1 species